rnacentral:rRNA from 1 species
UACAGAGGUCUCAAGCGUUGUUCGGAUUCAUUGGGCGUAAAGGGUGCGUAGGUGGCAUGGUAAGUCGGAUGUGAAAUCCCGGGGCUCAACCCCGGAACUGCAUUCGAUACUGCUGCGCUAGAGUACUGGAGAGGAGAUUGGAAUUUACGGUGUAGCAGUGAAAUGCGUAGAUAUCGUAAGGGAAGACCAGUGGCGAAGGCGGAUCUCUGGACAGUUACUGACACUGAGGCACGAAGGCCAGGGGAGCAAACGGG